UACGUAGGGCAGCGAGCGUUGUUCGGAGUUACUGGGCGUAAAGAGUGCGUAGGCGGUUUUCUAAGUUUGGUGUGAAAUCUCCCGGCUUAACUGGGAGGGUGCGCCGAAAACUGGAAGGCUUGAGUAUGGGAGAGGUAAGCGGAAGUUCCUGGUGUAGCGGUGAAAUGCGUAGAUAUCAGGAGGAACACCUGCGGUGUAGACGGCUUACUGGACCAUAACUGACGCUGAGGCACGAAAGCGUGGGUAGCAAACAGG
rnacentral:rRNA from 1 species